AACGAACGCUGGCGGCAGGCCUAACACAUGCAAGUCGAGCGAGGACUUCGGUCCUAGCGGCGGACGGGUAAGUAACGCGUGGGAACGUGCCCUUUGCUUCGGAAUAGCCCUGGGAAACUGGGAGUAAUACCGGAUGAGCCCUUUGGGGGAAAGAUUUAUCGGCGAAGGAUCGGCCCGCGUUGGAUUAGGUAGUUGGUGGGGUAAUGGCCUACCAAGCCGACGAUCCAUAGCUGGUUUGAGAGGAUGAUCAGCCACACUGGGACUGAGACACGGCCCAGACUCCUACGGGAGGCAGCAGUGGGGAAUCUUAGACAAUGGGGGAAACCCUGAUCUAGCCAUGCCGCGUGAGCGAUGAAGGCCUUAGGGUUGUAAAGCUCUUUCAGCUGGGAAGAUAAUGACGGUACCAGCAGAAGAAGCCCCGGCUAACUCCGUG
rnacentral:rRNA from 1 species